rnacentral:rRNA from 1 species
GACGAACGCUGGCGGCGUGCCUAAUACAUGCCAGUAGAACGCACAGUUUAUACCGUAGCUUGCUACACCAUAGACUGUGAGUUGCGAACGGGUGAGUAACGCGUAGGUAACCUGCCUGGUAGCGGGGGAUAACUAUUGGAAACGCUAGCUAAUACCGCAUAAUAUUAAUUAUUGCAUGAUAAUUAAUUGAAAGGUGCAAUUGCACCACUACCAGAUGGACCUGCGUUGUAUUAGCUAGUAGGUGAGGUAACGGCUCACCUAGGCGACGAUACAUAGCCGACCUGAGAGGGUGAUCGGCCACACUGGGACGGAGACACGGCCCAGACUCCUACGGGAGGCAGCAGUAGGGAAUCUUCGGCAAUGGACGAAAGUCUGACCGAGCAACGCCGCGUGAGUGAAGAAGGUUUUCGGAUCGUAAAGCUCGGUUGUAAGAGAAGAACGGGUGUGAGAGUGGAAAGUUCACACUGUGACGGUAACUUACCAGAAAGGGACGGCUAACUACGUG